rnacentral:tRNA from 1 species
UGGGGCGUAGCCAAGCGGUAAGGCAGCGGUUUUUGAUACCGCCACCCGUAGGUUCGAAUCCUGCCGCCCCAACCA